rnacentral:rRNA from 1 species
UACGUAGGGUGCAAGCGUUAAUCGGAAUUACUGGGCGUAAAGCGUGCGCAGGCGGUUUUGUAAGUCUGAUGUGAAAUCCCCCGGGCUCAACCUGGGAAUUGCAUUGGAGACUGCAAGGCUAGAAUCUGGCAGAGGGGGGGUAGAAUUCCACGUGUAGCAGUGAAAUGCGUAGAGAUGUGGAGGAACACCGAUGGCGAAGGCAGCCCCCUGGGUCAAGAUUGACGCUCAUGCACGAAAGGCGUGGGGAGCAA